UACGGGGGGGGCAAGCGUUGUUCGGAAUUACUGGGCGUAAAGGGCUCGUAGGCGGCCAACUAAGUCAGACGUGAAAUCCCUCGGCUUAACCGGGGAACUGCGUCUGAUACUGGAUGGCUUGAGUUUGGGAGAGGGAUGCGGAAUUCCAGGUGUAGCGGUGAAAUGCGUAGAUAUCAAGAGGAACACCUGCGGCGAAGGCGGGUUGCUGGGCCGACACUGACGCUGAUGCGCGAAAGCUAGGGGAGCGAACGGG
rnacentral:rRNA from 1 species